rnacentral:rRNA from 1 species
UACGUGGGGUGCAAGCGUUAAUCGGAAUUACUGGGCGUAAAGCGUGCGCAGGCGGUUCUAUAAGACAGAUGUGAAAUCCCCGGGCUCAACCUGGGAACUGCAUUUGUGACUGUAGAGCUGGAGUGCGGCAGAGGGGGAUGGAAUUCCGCGUGUAGCAGUGAAAUGCGUAGAUAUGCGGAGGAACACCGAUGGCGAAGGCAAUCCCCUGGGCCUGCACUGACGCUCAUGCACGAAAGCGUGGGGAGCAAACAGG